CACUCGAUAGCAUAAGGUGUGCACCUGCUUGAGUUGAUCUCGUGCAAUUGUGCAUGCGGGAGUGUCCUGGUUCGACUCCGGGUCGGGUGA